rnacentral:lncRNA from 1 species
AAAAAAGUAAACUGGAUUAUAAGUAUAUCGAAACAACUGCGGAUAAGAUCCAGAACGCCACCAAGACUUGGAAAACCAGAAACAGAUUAAGCCCGCCGCCGGGAAAUCAUACCCGCCUCCUCCCCGCCAACUGGCAGGGUCCUUGCCAUCUUUAAUAUUCUUCUACUAAUCACUAUACUUACCCUAAUCAUCCUAUCCUUUUCAUCUUAAUUUAUACACGCACACAGAGCUAAUUAAUUAACCAAGUCAAUACUUGACUAAUUCAUAGAUAUUAUCUAUAUGCAUGUGUGUGUAUAUGCACUUUCGAAGAAACUUCUGCUAGGUUUCCUUAAAAAUGGUCAUAAUAAGAAAAGAAAAGGAAAUUAAAAAAAUGGAGACCUUGGCAAUCUUUUUCCUUUUCUUCCUCGUAUAAUGGAUAGUUUUAUCUAAUUGCGUGAUAUGAUAAAAUUUUUUGGGCCUCUAAUAGCUAUAUUUGUUACAUAAUUGUUUAUGUACUUUUUGAAUUCAAAUAAGUUUUCUAACCUUAAAUAUUUAGUAAAUUUUAAAUUUUUUUUAUAUUAUUUGAUAAAUAUUUUAACAUACAUCAAUCACGCUAGGUUAUCUGCAAAUUUUGAUCACAUCACUCUUCUUUGUCUCUAAACUCCUUCAGGUAGUGUUCAUUCUAAGGAUCCAGAGAAAAGUCUUGUUUAUGUAUGUAUUGAUGUUUCUUCAUUUAGAAUUUUUUUCUCAUGUUGUUUUUAGUUAUGUCUAUUAUUUGGUGGACAUUAUUUAUAGUUUUCUUUUCGUAAUUAACCGAAAGGAUGUGGUCUCUUUUACGAUGUUUCUAUUUUAUUCAACUUAAGCCAUUUAGUUUCUCCUAUUGACGUACCUGUAUGUUUUUCAUAUUUUUCCGACAUGCAAGAUGAUGAUACCGUGAUUUCAUUGUAUAAACUAUAUACUUUUUGUGCAUCUAAGUCAAACUAAUAUUGUGGCAACCUUCUAUCAACCACAUAUUUAGGUACAGUCUAUACUUGAA